rnacentral:rRNA from 1 species
AUUGAACGCUGGCGGCAGGCCUAACACAUGCAAGUCGAGCGAGCGGCGGACGGGUGAGUAAUGUAUGGGGACUGCCCGAUAGAGGGGGAUAACUACUGGAAACGGUGGCUAAUACCGCAUACUAUCGGAUAACCCAUAUGGGAUUAGCUAGUGGGGGGGGUAAAGGCUCACCUAGGCGACGAUCCCUAGCUGGUCUGAGAGGAUGACCAGCCGCUCUGGGACUGAGACCCGGCCCAGACUCCUACGGAGGCAGCAGUUGGGUAUAGUGCACAAUGGGCGCAAGCCGGAUGCAGCCAUGCCGCGUGUAUGAAGCAGGCCUUAGUUUUGUAAAGUACUUUCAGCGGGGAGGCGUUACUCGCAGAAGAAGCCCCGGCUAACUCCGUGCCAGCAGCCGCGGUAAUCC